rnacentral:rRNA from 1 species
GAUGAACGCUGGCGGCGUGCCUAAUACAUGCAAGUCGAGCGAACAGACGAGGAGCUUGCUCCUCUGACGUUAGCGGCGGACGGGUGAGUAACACGUGGAUAACCUACCUAUAAGACUGGUAUAACUUCGGGAAACCGGAGCUAGUACCGGAUAAUCUAUUGCACCACAUGGGUCAAUGGUGAAAGACGGUUUUGCUGUCACUUCUAGAUGGAUCCGCGCCGCAUUAGCUAGUUGUUAAGGUAAAGGCUUAUCACGGCAACGAGGCGUAACCGACCUAAGAGGGUGAUAGGCGACACUGGAACUGAGACACGGUCCAGACGCCUACGAGAGGCAGCAGUAGGGAAUCUGACGCAAUGGGCGAAAGCCUGACGGAGCAACGCCGCGUGAGUGAUGAAGGUCUUCGGAUCGGAAAACUCUGUUAUUAGGGAAGAACAAAUGUGUAAGUAACUAUGCACGUCUUGACGGUACGUAAUCAGAAAGCCACGGCUAACUACGUG